UAAAAUCAGCAAGCUCGAUUAGCAAAUUACUCCUGUAGUCUUAAGUCGAGAAAUAAUGAAGGGCUAAAUCUUCGCAAUUUCACCUGUUUUCAAAUCCACUUAACAUUAAAAAAAACACAAAGAAAGUAAUACAUCUUAAAAUCCUUCAUUUAUAAAAUUGAUUACAAAUGUAAUUAAUUAAAAUAACAAUACGAAUAUAGUGCCAUACAUGAUUAUUUCCUAAUGACUGAAAUUUGGAAAACAAAUCUGCUUUAAUAAAUUCAUCCUAUACUCGGGGUCAAAUAAUAAUGAAGUCACAAAUCUUCUUAUAACCAUUGUAGCAUUUCAAUCAGAUUUCUAUAAAUGGGAUCAAUCAAUAAUGAAGUCACAAAUCUGAUUUAGUAAAUUCAUCCUAUACUCGAG
rnacentral:lncRNA from 1 species